ACUAUAUCUAGUGUUCAAGGUUCCUUCGAUUCGCUAGGGAUCGCAGGCUAAGAUGGGAAUACGGUGCGUUUUGCCAUGAGGGCAAAACAAGGCCGGAGCUGCCCCCGCAACUGUAAGCGGCGAGCAACUGUCCGAUUUCAGGUCACUGAGGCAUGAAGCUUUGGGAAGGCUGGGGGCAGGGUGCUUCGACCCGCGAGCCAGGAGACCUGCCUUGAACUAGAUGUCCAC
rnacentral:ncRNA from 2 species